AUUGAACGCUGGCGGAAUGCUUUACACAUGCAAGUCGAACGGCAGCACAGGGGCAACCCUGGUGGCGAGUGGCGAACGGGUGAGUAAUACAUCGGAACGUGCCCAGUCGUGGGGGAUAACGUAGCGAAAGUUACGCUAAUACCGCUUACGAUCUACGGGUGAAAGCGGGGGACCGUAAGGCCUCGCGCGAUUGGAGCGGCCGAUGUCAGAUUAGGUAGUUGGUGAGGUAAAGGCUCACCAAGCCGACGAUCUGUAGCUGGUCUGAGAGGACGACCAGCACACUGGGACGGAGACACGGCCCAGACUCCUACGGGAGGCAGCAGUGGGGAAUUUUGGACAAUGGGCGCAAGCCUGAUCCAGCCAUUCCGCGUGCAGGACGAAGGCCUUCGGGUUGUAAACUGCUUUUGUACGGAACGAAAAGGCUCUGGUUAAUACCUGGGGCUCAUGACGGUACCGUAAGAAUAAGCACCGGCUAACUACGUGCCAGCCGCCGCCGUAA
rnacentral:rRNA from 1 species